UGGGGAAUCUUGCGCAAUGGGCGAAAGCCUGACGCAGCAACGCCGCGUGGAGGAUGAAGGCCCUUGGGUUGUAAACUCCUGUCGGCUGGGAAGAAAUCGUUCGUGGCUCAUACCCACGGACGUUGACUGUACCAGCAAAGGAAGCCCCGGCUAACUCUGUGCCAGCAGCCGCGGUAAUACAGAGGGGGCUAGCGUUAUUCGGAAUUAUUGGGCGUAAAGGGCGCGUAGGCGGCCAUGCGUGUCUUCCGUGAAAUCCCUCGGCUUAACUGAGGACGUGCGGAAGAAACUGCAAGGCUCGAGUCCGGGAGAGGGGGGUGGAAUUCCCAGUGUAGCGGUGAAAUGCGUAGAUAUUGGGAGGAACACCGGUGGCGAAGGCGGCCCCCUGGACCGGUACUGACGCUGAGGCGCGAAAGCGUGGGUAGCAAACGGG
rnacentral:rRNA from 1 species